GGCCACUCAAAGCCUUGAGAUUUAUGUGACUUUCCCAAGGCAUGCACCAAGCACAUCAUCGUUCUACCUUCCCAGGGCUACAUGGAUCAGACGACAGCCCUGGACUUACUAGUGAUUUUAUGCAAGUGAUUAAGUUACUCUAAGCCUCAGUUUCUUCUCAUAAAAUAGGGAUAAGAGGUCUACCUCCUGCUCAGAUUAUCACAUAAGACACUGCAUGA
rnacentral:lncRNA from 10 species